CCUACGGGAGGCAGCAGUGAGGAAUAUUGGUCAAUGGGCUUACGCCUGAACCAGCCAAGUCGCGUGAGGGAAGACUGCCCUAUGGGUUGUAAACCUCUUUUGUCAGGGAGCAACGCCGGCUACGUGUAGCCGGACUGAGAGUCCCUGAAGAAAAAGCAUCGACAAACUCCGUGCCAGCAGCCGCGGUAAUACGUAGGAUGCGAGCGUUAUCCGGAUUUAUUGGGUUAAAAGGGUGCGUAGGCGGAAUGCCUAGUCAGCGGUAAAACCGCGGGGCACAACCUCGCUCCGCCGUUGAAACUGGCGUGCUUGAGUGGGCGAGAAGUAUGCGGAAUGCGUGGUGUAGCGGUGAAAUGCAUAGAGAUCACGCAGAACACCGAUUGCGAAGGCAGCAUACCGGCGCCCAACUGACGCUGAAGCACGAAAGCGUGGGUAUCGAACAGGAUUAGAUACCCCUGUAGUC
rnacentral:rRNA from 1 species